GACGAACGCUGGCGGCGCGCUUAACACAUGCAAGUCGAACGGAAAGGCCUGCUUUCCCUUGUGGAUUGCGGGUACUCGAGUGGCGAACGGGUGAGUAACACGUGAGUGAUCUGCCCCCAACUUGGGUAUAAGCCUGGGAAACUGGGUCUAAUUCCCGAUAGGACUGCAGGGUGGUGCCUGUGGUGGAAAACGAUUUUCUAGUGGUUGGGGAUGAGCUCGCGGCCUAUCAGCUUGUUGGUGGGGUAAUGGCCUACCAAGGCGGCGACGGGUAGCCGGCCUGAGAGGGUGGACGGCCACAUUGGGACUGAGAUACGGCCCAGACGCCUACGGGAGGCAGAGUGGGGAAUAUUGCACAAUGGGCGGAAGCCUGAUGCAGCGACGCCGCGUGGGGGAUGACGGCCUUCGGGUUGUAAACUCCUUUCGACCGCGAGGAAGCCACCUGGUUGGAAGGGUGGUGACGGUAGUGGUAGAAGAAGCACCGGCUAACUACGUG
rnacentral:rRNA from 1 species